UACGAAGGGGGCUAGCGUUGCUCGGAAUCACUGGGCGUAAAGCGCACGUAGGCGGAUCCUUAAGUCGGGGGUGAAAUCCUGGAGCUCAACUCCAGAACUGCCUUCGAUACUGAGGAUCUCGAGUCCGGGAGAGGUGAGUGGAAUUCCCAGUGUAGCGGUGAAAUGCGUAGAUAUUGGGAGGAACACCAGUGGCGAAGGCGACACGCUGGGCCGUACCUGACGCUAAAGCGCGACAGCAUGGGGAGCAAACGGG
rnacentral:rRNA from 1 species